GUCCUUAUAUCAAGACUAUUUAGUAACAUCUUUAUAAGAAUGGGUGCUUAUGGAAAUACUAACGUCACUAUGUCAAAGGCAAAGAAGACAGAAACAACCGAGGAACAGGGAGACCCGGGACAGUCAGGUGUUGAGUCUCAGGGAGACCAGGGACAGUCAGGUGUAGAGUCUCAGGUAAGUGUUUUGAGCUUAGUUGAUAUUUUUGGAGGUGUGUGGCCGUCAGGUUUAGCAGAUGAGCUUUACUAUUGGCUCACUAAUUUACAUUAUGAUCAGCUAAUUUAACAAGUGUACAAAAACAUUGUAUUUGUUUUAUAUGGGGACACUUUUUCAAACUAAGUAAUUAUGUUUUAAAGUAUUUUUGUGUCU